rnacentral:rRNA from 1 species
AUUCCAGCUCCAAUAGCGUAUAUUAAAGUUGUUGCAGUUAAAAAGCUCGUAGUUGGAUUUCUGGCAGGAGCGACCGGUCACACACUCUGUGUGUGAACUUGCGUUGUCUCUGGCCAUCCUCGGGGAGAUCCUGUUUGGCAUUAAGUUGUCGGGCAGGGGAUACCCGUCGUUUACUGUGAAAAAAUUAGAGUGUUUAAAGCAGGCUUAUGCCGUUGAAUAUAUUAGCAUGGAAUAAUAAGAUAGGACUUCGGAACUAUUUUGUUGGUUUGCGUUACGAAGUAAUGAUUAAUAGGGACAGUUGGGGGUAUUCGUAUUUCGUUGUCAGAGGUGAAAUUCUUGGAUUUCCGAAAGACGAACUACUGCGAAAGCAUUUACCAAGGAUGUUUUCAUCA